CUAGCUUCAGCGAUGGAUCGGUCGAUUCGCGUAUCGAUGAAAAACGCA
rnacentral:rRNA from 2 species